rnacentral:rRNA from 1 species
UACGAAGGGGGCUAGCGUUGUUCGGAAUCACUGGGCGUAAAGGGCGCGUAGGCGGCUGUUCAAGUCGGGGGUGAAAGCCUGUGGCUCAACCACAGAAUUGCCUUCGAUACUGGACGGCUCGAGACCGGAAGAGGUCAGUGGAACUGCGAGUGUAGAGGUGAAAUUCGUAGAUAUUCGCAAGAACAUCAGUGGCGAAGGCGGCUGACUGGUCCGGUUCUGACGCUGAGGCGCGAAAGCGUGGGGAGCAAACAGG